CCGUAACUAUAACGGUCCUAAGGUAGCGAAAUUCCUUGUCGGGUAAGUUCCGACCUGCACGAAUGGCGUAAUGAUGGCCAGGCUGUCUCCACCCGAGACUCAGUGAAAUUGAACUCGCUGUGAAGAUGCAGUGUACCCGCGGCAAGACGGAAAGACCCCGUGAACCUUUACUAUAGCUUGACACUGAACAUUGAGCCUUGAUGUGUAGGAUAGGUGGGAGGCUUUGAAGCGUGGACGCCAGUCUGCGUGGAGCCAACCUUGAAAUACCACCCUUUAAUGUUUGAUGUUCUAACGUUGGCCCCUGACCGGGGUUGCGGACAGUGUCUGGUGGGUAGUUUGACUGGGGCGGUCUCCUCCCAAAGAGUAACGGAGGAGCACGAAGGUUAGCUAAUCCUGGUCGGACAUCAGGAGGUUAGUGCAAUGGCAUAAGCUAGCUUGACUGCGAGCGUGACGGCGCGAGCAGGUGCGAAAGCAGGUCAUAGUGAUCCGGUGGUUCUGAAUGGAAGGGCCAUCGCUCAACGGAUAAAAGGUACUCCGGGGAUAACAGGCUGAUACCGCCCAAGAGUUCAUAUCGACGGCGGUGUUUGGCACCUCGAUGUCGGCUCAUCACAUCCUGGGGCUGAAGUAGGUCCCAAGGGUAUGGCUGUUCGCCAUUUAAAGUGGUACGCGAGCUGGGUUUAGAACGUCGUGAGACAGUUCGGUCCCUAUCUGCCGUGGGCGCUGGAGAAUUGAGGGGGGCUGCUCCUAGUACGAGAGGACCGGAGUGGACGCAUCACUGGUGUUCGGGUUGUCAUGCCAAUGGCAUUGCCCGGUAGCUAAAUGCGGAAGAGAUAAGUGCUGAAAGCAUCUAAGCACGAAACUUGCCCCGAGAUGAGUUCUCCCUGAGACUUUAAGUCUCCUGAAGGAACGUUAAAGACGAUGACGUUGAUAGGUCGGGUGUGUAAGCGUAGCGAUACGUUGAGCUAACCGAUACUAAUGAACCGUGAGGCUUAACCUU
rnacentral:rRNA from 1 species